AAAUUGAAGAGUUUGAUCAUGGCUCAGAUUGAACGCUGGCGGCAGGCCUAACACAUGCAAGUCGAGCGGUAGCACAGAGAGCUUGCUCUCGGGUGACGAGCGGCGGACGGGUGAGUAAUGUCUGGGAAACUGCCUGAUGGAGGGGGAUAACUACUGGAAACGGUAGCUAAUACCGCAUAACGUCGCAAGACCAAAGUGGGGGACCUUCGGGCCUCAUGCCAUCAGAUGUGCCCAGAUGGGAUUAGCUAGUAGGUGGGGUAAUGGCUCACCUAGGCGACGAUCCCUAGCUGGUCUGAGAGGAUGACCAGCCACACUGGAACUGAGACACGGUCCAGACUCCUACGGGAGGCAGCAGUGGGGAAUAUUGCACAAUGGGCGCAAGCCUGAUGCAGCCAUGCCGCGUGUAUGAAGAAGGCCUUCGGGUUGUAAAGUACUUUCAGCGAGGAGGAAGGCAUUAAGGUUAAUAACCUUAG
rnacentral:rRNA from 1 species